rfam:Microgenomates bacterium GW2011_GWB1_45_17 TX00_C0001, whole genome shotgun sequence.
GGGGCUGUGGUGUAAUUGGUAGCACAGCGCUCUCCAAAAGCGUUAGUUUCCAGGUUCGAGCCCUGGCAGCCCCG